AUUUUAGGUCUGACCUGCCCAAUGAAUAGAGUUUUAAAUGGCCGCGGUAUAUUGACCGUGCAAAGGUAGCAUAAUCAUUAGUUUUUUAAUUGAAAGCUGGAAUGAAAGGUUUGAUGAGAAAAUUUCUGUCUCUAAGGAAAUUAAUUAGAAUUUUAUUUUUAAGUGAGAAAGCUUAAAUUAGCAUGGAAGACGAGAAGACCCUAUAGAGUUUUAUAUUUGCUUUAGCGGGGGGAUUUUGGUUAGAAAAUAUUUUUUUGUUAGGGUAGGUAUUUUGUUGGGGUGAUAGGAAAAUUUAGGAAACUUUUCUUGAACAAGGAACGUUUAUUUGCGAGUGAAUGAUCCUAAAAUUUAGAUUAUAAGAUUAAAUUACCUUAGGGAUAACAGCGUAAUUUUUUAAAGAGUUCUUAUCGGAAAAAAAGUUUGCGACCUCGAUGUUGGAUUAAAAUUUAGUACUGGUGCAGUAGUUAGUAUAUUGGGUCUGUUCGACCCUUAAAAUUUUACAUGAUCUGAGUUUAGACCGGCGUGAG
rnacentral:rRNA from 1 species